rnacentral:lncRNA from 10 species
GGCGCUGACGCGGGAGGGCGGGCAGGGCCGUGGGGCGCGCGCGGGAAGGGACUUGUGGGAAGGAAGGGAGCGGAAAGGCCGAGCGCCACCCGCCCCGGGAGUCUCCAGAGCAGCGCGCGGGGCAGACCUCCUCGGGUCCUCCGGCGCUUCGGUCUCCGGAGACGCCCGGCCUCCUGAAGGGUUCGGCUUGUCCUCCUCUGGCGCUCAGCUCCCUCUGGCGGCCGGGCUGGCAGGACCUCAGCGCCCAGCCCUUCCGUCUUGUUACGUCCAGGGUCUCACUCUGUGUCUCAGGCUGGAGUACAGUGGUGCAAUUGUAGAUGGCUGCAGCCCUCGACCUCCUGGGCUCAAGUGAUCCUCCUGCCUUAGCCUCUCGAGUAGCUGGGAGUACAGAUGCACACCACCACACCCAGCCUAGAAUGAAGAAACCUGCAGUUGGGAAGCAUGAAUUUACCACCUAUUAAGAAGUAGUCAUCAGGCAUGACCUCCCAUGGGUGCUCACAGAAGAUGGUGCCGUGCAUGUGCAGAACUUCCCAGGCCAAGAUCCACCACAUUGGACCCACUGAGAGACACACUGCCUUAUGCCAGGGACCUGGUGGAAAGGUCACCCCCAGAAUGGACAGGCUGGGAAGAGCUCACUUAACAGUGCACUGGUUUACUGAGACAAUUCAAAACACACAUUCAUUUUGUGUGCUUAUGAAAUAUAUCCCAAGCUGUAUCUUUUUUAUAACAG